UUUACUUUUAUGCAGGAGCCGAUUUCAUAGCCAACGAACCUUGUGAACUAAAAGAAGUUAUGUGGUGAGUAAUUACAUUGACACUGGCCAAUUACAUUGACAAUGUUGUCUUUCCCUUGACAGCGUGAUAUCCCAACACAUUGCAUGUAUGCAUCCACUCAUGUACACAUGCAUACAUACAUACAUACAUACAUACAUACAUACAUACAUACAUACAUACAUACAUACAUACAUACAUACAUACAUACAUACAUUCAUUCAUUCAUUCAUUCAUUCAUUCAUUCAUUCAUUCAUUCAUUCAUUCAUACAUUCAUUCAUUCAUUCAUUCAUUCAUUCAUACAUUCAUUCAUUCAUUCAUUCAUUCAUUCAUUCAUUCAUUCAUACAUUCAUUCAUUCAUGUAUAUUUUGCUUCUUUAUUUACAUCAUUAACUUGUUUUACUUGCUCUCUGCUUUGUUUCGUACGCUUUGCUUGCUUAACUUGGUUGCUUUGUUCCUUUGAUCUUUGCCUACUCAAUCCCUUCAUUCAUUUCUUAACUUGCUUGCUGCUUUGCUACUCUGAUAUUUUUGGUUUCCUUUCUCAUUUCACUGUUUACAUGCUUAACUAACUUGUUUACUUCUUCCUUCUUUGUGUCUUUUAUUUCUCUGCUUCUCUCAUUGGUUCCUUCCUUCAUUUUUGCGUUGGUACUCAACGUUUUAAUUUAUUUACUAACCAUAAUUAUUAUUUAAAUGAUGUUAUAGUUUUAAACUAUUUAAAACCAUCAGCUUUCAUUUUUAAAAGUAAAUACUACUAUUUAUUGUCGAUGUAUUACGAAUGUAUCAACUCUUGUAUUCGAUUU